GUUCUGGUCGAGGUUCUGAUGACAGAUACGGAGGUGGAAGACGCGACGAUUACAACAGAGGACGUCGGGAUGAUGGAUUUGAUCGCAGACCUGCAAGCCGGGAUGGCAGCCAAGAGCGCAGGGAUGCACCGACAGAGCGGCCACGGCUAAAGCUUCAGCCUCGCUCCAAACCUGUG